CGCGUAGGCUGAUUAGUAAAUCACGUGUGAAAUUCCAAGGCUUAACCUUGGAGCCGCAUAUGAAACUACUAAUCUAGAGGAGAAGCGGAGAGAAUGGAAUUUCCCAUGUAGCGGUGAAAUGCGUGGAUAUGGGGAGGAACAUCGGUGGCGAAAGCGGUUUUCUAGCUUUUAACUGACGCCGAGGCGCGAAAGCGAGGGGAGCAAACA
rnacentral:rRNA from 1 species